AGUGAACGCUGGCGGUAGGCCUAACACAUGCCAGUCGAACGGCAGCACAGUAAGAGCUUGCUCUUACGGGUGGCGAGUGGCGGACGGGUGAGGAAUACAUCGGAAUCUACUUUUUCGUGGGGGAUAACGUAGGGAAACUUACGCUAAUACCGCAUACGACCUACGGGUGAAAGCAGGGGAUCUUCGGACCUUGCGCGAUUGAAUGAGCCGAUGUCGGAUUAGCUAGUUGGCGGGGUAAAGGCCCACCAAGGCGACGAUCCGUAGCUGGUCUGAGAGGAUGAUCAGCCACACUGGAACUGAGACACGGUCCAGACUCCUACGGGAGGCAGCAGUGGGGAAUAUUGGACAAUGGGCGCAAGCCUGAUCCAGCAAUACCGCGUGGGUGAAGAAGGCCUUCGGGUUGUAAAGCCCUUUUGUUGGGAAAGAAAAGCAGCAGGUGAAUACCCCGCUGUUCUGACGGUACCCAAAGAAUAAGCACCGGCUAACUUCGUG
rnacentral:rRNA from 1 species